rnacentral:rRNA from 1 species
UACGUAGGGUGCAAGCGUUGUCCGGAAUUAUUGGGCGUAAAGAGCUUGUAGGCGGUUUGUCGCGUCUGCUGUGAAAUCCCCGGGCUCAACCUGGGAAUGGCAUUUGGGACUGCAAGGCUGGAGUGUGGCAGAGGAGACUGGAAUUCCUGGUGUAGCAGUGAAAUGCGUAGAUAUCAGGAGGAAUACCGAUGGCGAAGGCAGGUCUCUGGGCUGACACUGACGCUCAUGCACGAAAGCGUGGGGAGCAAACAGG